rnacentral:rRNA from 1 species
AGAGUUUGAUCAUGGCUCAGGAUGAACGCUAGCGGCAGGCUUAAUACAUGCAAGUCGAGGGGCAGCACGAGGUAGCAAUACUUUGGUGGCGACCGGCAAACGGGUGCGGAACACGUACAGAACCUUCCUUCGAGCGGGGAAUAGCCCGGAGAAAUCCGGAUUAAUGCCCCAUAGUAAAUUGAAAAGGCAUCUUUUUAAUUUUAAAGAUUUAUCACUUGAAGAUGGCUGUGCGCCUGAUUAGGUAGUUGGCGGGGUAAAGGCCCACCAAGCCUUCGAUCAGUAACUGGCGUGAGAGCGCGACCAGUCACACGGGCACUGAGACACGGGCCCGACUCCUACGGGAGGCAGCAGUAAGGAAUAUUGGUCAAUGGACGCAAGUCUGAACCAGCCAUGCCGCGUGGAGGAUGAAGGUCCUCUGGAUUGUAAACUUCUUUUAUUUGGGACGAAAAAGGAUCUUUCUAGAUCAACUGACGGUACCAGAUGAAUAAGCACCGGCUAACUCCGUGCCAGCAGCCGCGGUAAUACGGAGGGUGCAAGCGUUAUCCGGAUUUACUGGGUUUAAAGGGUGCGCAGGCGGAUAUGUAAGUCAGUGGUGAAAUCUUUGGGCUUAACCCGAAAAUUGCCAUUGAUACUAUAUAUCUUGAAUGCUGUGGAGGUAAGCGGAAUAUGUCAUGUAGCGGUGAAAUGCUUAGAGAUGACAUAGAACACCUAUUGCGAAGGCAGCUUACUACGCAGAUAUUGACGCUCAUGCACGAAAGCGUGGGGAUCAAACAGGAUUAGAUACCCUAGUAGUCC